GAUGAACGCUGGCGGCGUGCCUAAUACAUGCAAGUCGAGCGAACGGACGAGAAGCUUGCUUCUCUGAUGUUAGCGGCGGACGGGUGAGUAACACGUGGAUAACCUACCUAUAAGACUGGGAUAACUUCGGGAAACCGGAGCUAAUACCGGACGAUAUUUUGAACCGCAGGGUUCAAAAGUGAAAGACGGUCCUGCUGUCACUUAUAGAUGGAUCCGCGCUGCAUUAGCUAGUUGGUAAGGUAACGGCUUACCAAGGCAACGAUGCAUAGCCGACCUGAGAGGGUGAUCAGCCACACUGGAACUGAGACACGGUCCAGACUCCUACGGGAGGCAGCAGUAGGGAAUCUUCCGCAAUGGGCGAAAGCCUGACGGAGCAACGCCGCGUGAGUGAUGAAGGUCUUCGGAUCGUAAAACUCUGUUAUUAGGGAAGAACGUAUGUGUAAGUAACUGUGCACAUCUUGACGGUACCUAAUCAGAAAGCCCCGGCUAACUACGUG
rnacentral:rRNA from 1 species